ensembl:lncRNA
CUUUUGUUCUCUUUUCAUAGACCUACAGCCAGUAAGUCCUUGUCAACACCACCACACUACUAACACAACUACACACAUGUACAAACAAAUGUUGUAAUUAUCUUUUCAUUGUGUUUCUGUUGUAGACAACUUGGUGAUUGGAGCUGUGAACAGUGGAGGCAUGGUGGAUUCUGGGGAUGCUGGGAUGUAUUCUCUGAGCAUCUCUGUACCGUCCACAUUUUUGGCCUCAGGACCUGUUGGUGUGGAUACACAGGGAUCUGCAGAUUAAGAUAUAACCCUCCAGGACACCUACAGCACCCAAUGUCACAGGAAGACCAAAUAUCAUCAAGGACAUCAACCACACGAGCUAAGGCCUAUACACCCCGCUACCAUCCAGAAGGCGAGAGGGUGAUGGAGCUGGAUGCUGAUGAAAACCUUCACAAAUUCCUCUUUUUGGAUGAAGCAGGCUUCAACCUGGCCAAGACAAGGAGGAGAGGUUGGAAUCUCAUUGGCCAGCGGGCAACCAACCAAGUACCUGGACAACAUGGGGCCAACAUCACCAUGUGUGCGGCUAUAUCAGAAGACGGUGUGGUGGGACGCAGACCUCGUAUUGGAUCAUAUAAAGCAGCUCUCCUUGUGUAACCUUCUUGAUGAGAUAAAUCGGGUCUGUAGAGCUGAUGUCGUGACCUAUGUCAUUGCGUGGGUUAAUGUCAGGUUCUACCAUGCUCAAAUGGUGCAAGCACGGUUUCAGGCCCAUCCACAAUUUAUCACCCUGUACUUACCCCUAUACUCUCCUUUCCUUAACCCGAUUGAGACAUUUUUCUCCAAGUGGAGGUGAAAGGUAUAUGAUAGGCGCCCUCAGGAACAAGCCACCCUUCUCCAGGCCAUGGAUGAUGUAUGCAAUGACAUCACGGCAGACCAGUGUCAGGCCUGGAUUCACCCUGCCCGAAGAUUCUUCCCAAGAUGUUUGGCCAAUGAAAACAUCCAUUGAUGAGAACCUUUGGCCAAAUCCACAAGACAGGUUUGAUGGAAAUAUAGAAGUACAGUAAUCAAUCCUUUGUUUUGCUUUUUACAGUAAGCCAGGUGAGGAACACUGCAGUUGACAUUUUACUGUAGUGUUUUUCUUUUUUGAAGCUAAUAAUUUUUGCUUUGAUUCAAGGAGACCUGACCUAUGUUGUGAUUUUAUUGUAUUUCAUCAAUACCUUUCAGAUUUUGUUCAAUGAUUCCAAUGUGUCUGUAGUAUUCUCUUUGCUAGUCAUUUUACAGUGAUGUAUUACGUGUAGUACCAUAAUGAAACACGUAUCACAUAUUUUGUACUACAAUAUUUAAUGAUUGUAUGAACAACUACACAGUGAAACUAUUGGUAUAUUGUGUGUGGGUGAUCUAAAUUAAUGUUCCUAUGGUAUUUCAUGAUGAAAGAGUUAUUUGAACCAGUGCAAGGUUUCUUUAAAGAUAUGAAUGCACAAUACAUUGUUUUGAACAUUGGACAGCCUGUGUAACAAGUGAUGACCGUUUUGAGUUUUGUGUCUAGAGUUUUGAAAAAUGACCACAAGAUUCUGAAAUUAGUGCCAAAGGGAUUGUAAAAAACUGUAAAUAGCCAUCACUAAUUGGCUUCCACCCGGUUACGCAACCCUGCACCUUAGAGGCUGCUGCCCUAUAUACAUAUACUUGGAGUGACUGGCCACUUUAAUAAUGGAACACUAGUCACUUUAAUAAUGUUUACAUACUGCUU